GUUGGGUGUGAAAUCCCUCGGCUCAACCGAGGAAUUGCGCUCGAUACUGCCGUGCUCGAGGGAGACAGAGGUGAGCGGAACUUAGGGUGGAGCGGUGAAAUGCGUUGAUAUCCUAAGGAACACCAGUGGCGAAAGCGGCUCACUGGGUCUCUUCUGACGCUGAGGCACGAAAGCUAGGGGAGCGAACGGG
rnacentral:rRNA from 1 species